UUAUGGCUUUCGGUAAACUAUGUCUUAUUACUGAAUGUGUCAUAAUAUGUGGUUAUACAAAGUGUGAAUUGACUUCAUUAGAGCAAAUUCUUGUUUUCGGUAACUUGCUGACCUGAUAUGAAGAGAAAGUUAAACCUUCAUAAAAUGAUAAACCUUGGAACUGGAGCAGACAGAUAUAUUUUUGAAUGAGGAACUUAGAAGAAACCAUACAGGCUGACAAUAAAUGGGGAAGAAAGAGAAUGUUGGAAACACAAAGCAACGAGCAUCUUAAAAUAUACAUGGAGUACUGAUAACAAGGAAUGCUGUCAAGGCUUUUGUCAUGUGGAGCAUCCAGAACCUGGGCUUGAUUUUCUUCGAGCAGUGAGGAUUAAGGGGAGA